rnacentral:rRNA from 1 species
UGGGGAAUAUUGCACAAUGGGCGCAAGCCUGAUGCAGCCAUGCCGCGUGUGUGAAGAAGGCCUUCGGGUUGUAAAGCACUUUCAGCGAGGAGGAAGGUGGUGAACUUAAUACGUUCAUCAAUUGACGUUACUCGCAGAAGAAGGACCGGCUAACUCCGUGCCAGCAGCCGCGGUAAUACGGAGGGUGCAAGCGUUAAUCGGAAUUACUGGGCGUAAAGCGCACGCAGGCGGUUUGUUAAGUCAGAUGUGAAAUCCCCGGGCUCAACCUAGGAACUGCAUUUGAAACUGGCAAGCUAGAGUCUCGUAGAGGGGGGUAGAAUUCCAGGUGUAGCGGUGAAAUGCGUAGAGAUCUGGAGGAAUACCGGUGGCGAAGGCGGCCCCCUGGACGAAGACUGACGCUCAGGUGCGAAAAGGCGUGGGGAGCAAAACAGGAUUAGAUACCCUGGUAGUCCACGCUGUAAACGAUGUCGAUUUUGGAGGUUGUGCCCUUGAGGCGUGGCUUCCGGAGCUAACGCGUUAAAUCGACCGCCUGGGGAGUACGGCCGCAAGGUUAAAACUC